AUUAUGUUAUUUUGCACGGAACCUUAUUCAUUGUUAUUUUGCAUGGAACCGUAUUUAUUGUUCACGUGUGUAAAGAUAACUAUGCAUAAUCCAACAUAAAAGAUGAAUUGUGGCAGACAUAUUCCAUGAUCUAUGGUGAAAAAUAAAGGUAGUCUAUAGUUUGAACUCCCUGACUACAUGGAUUGAUUGCAUUUUAGAUGAUUUUUAUUUUAUUUGUAUACUAAGUUGUAUACAAUACAUAAAAUUGAAUUCUAAGUAAUAUUUUCGAAUAUAAAAUGAGUAAAAAUAUUAAACGCUUAAGUAUGUAAUGAGUGGUUAACAUUAUAAUCAUGAACUGUUUUCACCAGUUUUGCUUUUAAUAGCAUUUUAAUAAGAAUCAGUCGCCUCAUAUUAUUUACUAUAAAGAAAUCUGUUGUCAUGACUUGUUCAAUCAAACCCAAGAAUAUAGUAUUUGGCUUUUACAUAAAAUUAUUAUCUAUUAGAUAGUUAAUGUUUCAUUAAUUACAAAAUUAAGGCUUCUUUAAAAACUACUUAAUCCGAAAAUCUGAAGAACGAUACUCGAAUAAUUUUUGUGCUUUAUUUUUUCUUAUUAUUUUUGUUAGGUGGGCGAAGACGGUAUCAAAAGAUCUUUUUAAAGUUGACAAUUAUAUUAUGUAAAUAAGAUGACCAUGCAACAUUGCGGUUCGAUGGAGCGUCGAUUUAAUUUUUACUUGAUUUGAUAGAUUUGAUUUUUACAAAUAGUUAUGUUUAGUCUAUUAGCUCGGAUAGUCAUAGAUACAUUUAUUGGUUGGACAGAUAUAAAGCUGAAUCUACACUACAACACGUCCUACACGGACAACCCUUCGGUGCAGUCCAAUACCGUGUUGCGUCAAAGCUUCCAAAAAUCAAUAAUCGGACUUUCGGCCGCCAUACCAGCAGCUUCCGUGUAUUGCGUAUUUUACUGAUUUAACCGACUAAAGCAUCUUUCAGGUGGACAUCGGCUGCUAAAAUGACUUACGAUCCUGAGAGUCUCACCUGCCUCUCUCGCUACAACUGGCCGGGGGUAGCAGAAGUGAACAUCCGCAACUCGGCUGACCCGCGCUUGGUGCGUGGGCCCGCGCCUAACAGUAUCGCCGAAUAUUUUAAUAUGGCGCCCGAACGACGACUCUCGGAAUCCAUUUACGUGGUCAUCCGCGGACAGGCUGCCAACCAAGUCUGGCCUCGCCCGACCGCAGAUGAAGUUAUCAGCCGGAUCUUGCAUCUGUAAAUUGUCGCUCACACAA